CUAGUCGACUUCCUAGAGUUUGUAGUCCUCGGCGUCAGGAGUGAACGACUAGCUACAGGCUUAACACAUGCAAGUCGCGGGGUCUGCUUCGGCAGACGACCGGCGCACGGGUGAGUAACGCGUAUCCAACCUGCCCCUCUCUUUGGCAUAGCCUUUCGAAAGAGAGAUUAAUUCCGAAUAACAUAGUUAGAUUGCAUGAUAUGACUAUGAAAGCUCCGGCGGAGAGGGAUGGGGAUGCGUUCCAUUAGGUAGUAGGCGGGGUAACAGCCCACCUAGCCGACGAUGGAUAGGGGUUCUGAGAGGAAGGUCCCCCACAUUGGAACUGAGACACGGUCCAA
rnacentral:rRNA from 1 species